rnacentral:miRNA from 1 species
CGGGACUUGGCGAGUCAGGCGG